rnacentral:rRNA from 1 species
GACGAACGCUGGCGGCGUGCCUAAUACAUGCAAGUCGAGCGAAUUUACGAGAGCUUGCUCUCGUAAAUUAGCGGCGGACGGGUGAGUAACACGUGGGCAACCUGCCUAUAAGACUGGGAUAACUUCGGGAAACCGGAGCUAAUACCGGAUAAUUCACAUCUACUCAUGUAGCUGUCCUGAAAGACGGUUUCGGCUGUCACCUAUAGAUGGGCCCGCGGCGCAUUAGCUAGUUGGUGAGGUAACGGCUCACCAAGGCCACGAUGCGUAGCCGACCUGAGAGGGUGAUCGGCCACACUGGGACUGAGACACGGCCCAGACUCCUACGGGAGGCAGCAGUAGGGAAUCUUCCGCAAUGGACGAAAGUCUGACGGAGCAACGCCGCGUGAGUGAUGAAGGUUUUCGGAUCGUAAAACUCUGUUGUUAGGGAAGAACAAGUACCAGAGUAACUGCUGGUACCUUGACGGUACCUAACCAGAAAGCCACGGCUAACUACGUGCCAGCCGCCGCGGUAA